GCACAACGCGAAGAACCUUACCACCUUUUGACAUGCCUGGACCGCCACAGAGAUGUGGCUUUCCCUUCGGGGACUGGGACACAGGUGCUGCAUGGCUGUCGUCAGCUCGUGUCGUGAGAUGUUGGGUUAAGUCCCGCAACGAGCGCAACCCUCGCCAUUAGUUGCCAUCAUUCAGUUGGGAACUCUAAUGGGACUGCCGGUGCUAAGCCGGAGGAAGGUGGGGAUGACGUCAAGUCCUCAUGGCCCUUACAGGGUGGGCUACACACGUGCUACAAUGGCGACUACAGAGGGUUAAUCCUUAAAAGUCGUCUCAGUUCGGAUUGUCCUCUGCAACUCGAGGGCAUGAAGUUGGAAUCGCUAGUAAUCGCGGAUCAGCAUGUCGCGGUG
rnacentral:rRNA from 1 species